GGAUAACGGCUGGAAACGGUCGCUAAUACCGCAUAACAUACUGGGAGGACAUCCUGCUGGUAUCAAAGAUUUAUCGCUCGAAGAUGGGCUCGCGUCCGAUUAGGUAGUUGGUGAGGUAACGGCUCACCAAGCCGACGAUCGGUAGCCGGACUGAGAGGUUGAACGGCCACAUUGGGACUGAGACACGGCCCAGACUCCUACGGGAGGCAGCAGUGGGGGAUAUUGCACAAUGGGGGAAACCCUGAUGCAGCGACGCCGCGUGUGGGAAGACGGUCCUCUGGAUUGUAAACCACUGUCCCCAGGGACGAAAAUGACGGUACCUGGGGAGGAAGCUCCGGCUAACUACGUGCCAGCAGCCGCGGUAAUACGUAGGGAGCGAGCGUUGUCCGGAAUUACUGGGUGUAAAGGGAGCGUAGGCGGGGAUGCAAGUUGGGUGUCAAAACUACCGGCUCAACUGGUAGUCGCACUCAAAACUGCAGCUCUUGAGUGAAGUAGAGGCAGGCGGAAUUCCUAGUGUAGCGGUGAAAUGCGUAGAUAUUAGGAGGAACACCAGUGGCGAAGGCGGCCUGCUGGGCUUUUACUGACGCUGAGGCUCGAAAGUGUGGGGAGCAAACAGGAUUAGAUACCCUGGUAGUCCACACCGUAAACGAUGAUUACUAGGUGUGGGGGGUCUGACCCCUUCCGUGCCGGAG
rnacentral:rRNA from 1 species